UUGGCCCCUAAAGGCGUUGCAGACAUGGCCGCCAGUCUAUGUUUGUGUCAGUAGGAGGCAGAGAGGAAACAGGCUGCGUCUACGUUCCGUGUUCUGUGGCCGUGAACCCUUGGAAUGAUUAGCAGCUUGACAUC